GCACUGCUGACGAGUCCCAAGCCAGACGAAACAGCUGUCCAGUGC
rnacentral:hammerhead_ribozyme from 1 species